ensembl:lncRNA
AAAGAGUGAUGCUGAAGCGCUGGUCAUUUCUGUCAGCUGGGAAAGGAAGGAAGAUGUUGUUGCUCUAUCUAAUGUCACUUUUUAUUCCAAAACAUUUGACACUUUUUAUCUGCAACAUCAUGAAUCACUUGGUCAUUUGAGAAAAGACACAUAAUUAGACAUUUUCUAUUACAAGUAGUUCAAAUUGUAUAAACACAUAAUUCAUGAGUUUGCAGUAGUGUCUGCCUUUAUGUCAGGGCAAAUUUGAGCAUAUUUCAAUUUUGUCCAACUUGUUACUAAUAAACUUGAUUUGUCCAGAGCUCUCAACUCAAUUCAAACAACUCAUGACACCAUUCCUUCGACACACACACACACACUUUUAUCCAAAGCAACUUGCAGUGCAUUCUAGUUAUAAUUAGUUUUUUGUUUUUUUAACCAGUGUGUGUUUGUUCCCUGGGAAUUGAAGCCACAAACUUUAGCACUGACUGCUCACAUAAUGCUCCACCACUGACAGACGGACCGACACACACAUACAUGCACACACACACACACACACACACAAGGAGGAAGCUUUUGGGAUCAAGUGGAAAGAGGGACACAGUCUAGUCAGUCAUAUGAACUCGGGACUGGUUCAGUCACAAUGAGAAAUCUUAUUCUAAACUGGACAUUUCUCUUUAUUUUACAUCUGACCAAAGAGGACGCUUCAGUGCAAAAGCUGAGUGCCCCAGAAAAGCACUUUCUUGUCCUGAUGUGUUCUGACGCUUCAUAUGUUGACUGGAGCCAUGGGCUGGAAAAGGUGAUCGCUUCUAAACGAGGAAAGCUGGUGUCUUACCUGGACCAAAGCAAACACCAGCUGCUUGAAGACGGCCAGCUCUCCAUUAAAGGCCUGCAGGAAUCAGACGCAGGAGAAUAUUACUGCAACCAUCAGCUAGUGGCAGAUAUCACUGUGCUCAAAGGUCAUAACUUUACAGUUGCUGAGGGCACAACUAUUUAUCUGCCAUGUAAGACAUCUGAUAAAAUGAAGCAGAGAUGGGCAUUCAAACGCACUCCUCACUCCAGAAAAGAGUUCAUCUCCACACUUUAUAAAAACAGCACCAUAAAGAAAGAGAGAGCUGAUCCAACAUUAAGAUUCACCCACACCACAGACCACCUGAUUAUCUCCAGUCUCCGGCUGCAGGACUCUGGGCUUUAUCUGUGCAACAACAGAGAGAUGGCUUUCCUCACGGUGACCACAGCAUCGACUGAAAUUGAAAACAGCAGUCCAGAUAUAAACAAAUAUCUGACUGUGGCCGUCCUGCUGGCCUUGUGCAUACUGGCGAUGGUUUGUGUUGGACUUCUGUCUGUGACGAUCGGCUGGAAAAGCAGAAGAAGGAGAAGAAACUUCAGAAAAGAAACAGAGCUGACAAAUAUUGCAUCUGGUCAACAAUUACAAAGCAUGUCAAAUGAAGGCCCCUGGAUGCUGGACCCUCAGGAGGAUGCAGGGGAAAUCCAGUACGCGUCUCUGGGUGUGCAGCACUGGAGACAGACAGACAGACAGCUGAGCAGCAGACAGCAUGUCAUUUACUCCACACUGACCCCGUCAUGAAAACAACACACUCAUUUACACUGGAUACCUAGUCAAUAUGAGAUAUGUUCAUAUAAACCGAAUACAUUCAAAAACACCUUAUAUAGAAACUGAGUCUUAGCUUUAUUGUCAUCCUACAAAAGCUUAUAUAUAAUCAAACAAAUGAAAAACAAACCAUAGAAUAUAGUUAUAUAACACAUGUAAUAUAACUACUUUAGCUGUGAAACUUGAAAUUAUUAGGAAAGGGGAUCUGCAAAGAUUCAUAAAACAUAGGCACAUUUAGGUACAUUGGGGCGCAUUCCCUUCAAAAACAAAGCUAAACCACAGCAGCUCAGAUGUCAGGAGUAAAUGAGACUGCUAUGUUCAUUAUAAGAUCCACCAACAGAACACCUUGAUUAUUAGGAGUCAUUCUUUCAUAUUGUCUUCCCCUGCACACAAUG